UGCAGGAAAAAUCACGCGAGAAGAUCGUUUGCCCACACGGGUGCAGGGCACUGUGCGCGUGCACAUGCGCGCACAGUGGCUUCAAGGCGUGCGCACAGUGCACACAUCCCAUACGCAUGUUAGCAUGCACGUCCCCUUCGCACACAAGCACACACGAGAUGUGAGCACAGCGCGCAAGUCCUGUCCGUGUGCACGGCGCGGGAUCAAGACCAGCGCACGCGUUAUGUCACACGCAAACAGGUCGUCUUCGAGUCACCUCGCACACGGAAUGGCACUGCACACUUUGCGUGCGUCGUCCUUGUAGUAGGCCUACGCAAAUAG
rnacentral:lncRNA from 1 species